AAAAGACUUAGUCCUAACCUUACUAUUGGUUUCUGCUAGACAUAUACAUGCAAGUAUCCGCAUUCCAGUGAAAAUGCCCCUAAACCUUUUCUAUUAAACAAGCAAAAGGAGCAGGCAUCAGGCACACCAUUUUAAGUAGCCCAAAACGCCUUGCUAAGCCACACCCCCACGGGUAUUCAGCAGUAAUUAACCUUAAGCAAUAAGUGUAAACUUGACUUAGUCAUAGCAACACCUAGGGUUGGUAAAUCUUGUGCCAGCCACCGCGGUCAUACAAGAGACCCAAAUCAAUAGCCACCCGGCGUAAAGAGUGGACAUAUGUUAUCUAUAUCAACUAAGAUCAAAAUGAAACCAAGCUGUCAUAAGCCAAAGAUUCACCUAAACCCCAUUCGUAAACCAUCUUAAUUACACACGAUCAAUUUAAAUCCACGAAAGCCAGGACACAAACUGGGAUUAGAUACCCCACUAUGCCUAGCCCUAAAUUCAGAUACCCUCAUACCCACGUAUCCGCCCGAGAACUACGAGCACAAACGCUUAAAACUCUAAGGACUUGGCGGUGCCCCAAACCCCCUAGAGGAGCCUGUUCUAUAAUCGAUAAUCCACGAUUCACCCAACCACCUCUUGCCAACACAGCCUACAUACCGCCGUCGUCAGCUCACCUCAAUGAAAGAACAACAGUGGGCUCAAUAGCCUUCGCUAAUAAGACAGGUCAAGGUAUAGCCCAUGAGGUGGAAGAAAUGGGCUACAUUUUCUAACAUAGAAUAAACGAAAAAGGGCAUGAAACCAGCCCUUGGAAGGAGGAUUUAGAAGUAAAAUAGGACCACACCUUCUUUAAGCCUACUUUAAAACGGCUCUGAGGCACGUACAUACCGCCCGUCACCCUCUUCACAGACCAUCAUUACUAAUAAAUAAUCUACCACUAAGGCCGAAGACGAGGCAAGUCGUAACAAGGUAAGUGUACCGGAAGGUGCACUUAGACCA
rnacentral:ncRNA from 1 species